GCGCUCCCAACCCUUCUUGGCACUGGUAGAAUUCACUGAAUUCUUUUAAGUUCAGUGAAUUACCAGUCUCAAAAAUUGUGAGUGA
rnacentral:pre_miRNA from 1 species